AUUGAACGCUAGCGGGAUGCUUUACACAUGCAAGUCGAACGAGUGGCGGACGGGUGAGUAAUAUAACGGAACGUGCCCAGUAGCGGGGGAUAACUACUCGAAAGAGUGGCUAAUACCGCAUACUAUUAGAGCGGCCGAUAUCGGAUUAGCUAGGUGGUGGGGCAAAGGCUCACCAAGGCGAGGAUCCGUAGCUGGUUUGAGAGGACGACCAGCCGCACUGGGACUGAGGCACUGCCCAGACUCCUUCGGGAGGCAGCAGUGGGGAAUUUUGGACAAUGGGGGAAGCCCUGGUCCAGCCAUCCCGCGUGUAUGAGAAGGCCUUCGGGUUGUAAAGUGCUUUUGUCAGAGAAGCGGUAUCUGCAGAAUAAGCGCCGGCUAACUACGUGCCAGCAGCCGCGGUAAUAC
rnacentral:rRNA from 1 species